GACGAACCGUGCGAACGUUGUUCGGAUUCACUGGGCUUAAAGGGCGCGUAGGCGGGCGGUCAAGUCGGGGGUGAAAUCUUUCAGCUCAACUGGAAAAGUGCCUUCGAUACUGACUGUCUUGAGUGAGGUAGGGGCAUGUGGAACUUCCGGUGGAGCGGUGAAAUGCGUAGAUAUCGGAAGGAACGCCGGUGGCGAAAGCGACGUGCUGGACCUCUUCUGACGCUGAGGCGCGAAAGCUAGGGGAGCAAACAGG
rnacentral:rRNA from 1 species